UGGGUUACUGGAGUCCUUAAUAAACAGAAGAAAUUCAGAUAAAGAGAAAAAAGUCAUUUGGAGGGGCCAGAAGUCAACAGAACCCGGAAGAGAAAGGAGAGGACAUUGCCAUGUGAUGGGAAGCCAAGAACCCAUGGAUUGCUGGAAGGCAAGAAUGCUACCAAUCCCCGAAGGAAGCAAGCCUGAAAGCCUCUGAAACCGUGAGCCAACAUAUUCCUAUUGUUUAAGUCAAAACCGGUUUGUGGUAUUUGUGAUUGCAGCUUAGUAAAACUAAGACACAUGGUAUGUGAUACCUGCUCAUAAACAUCAACACUGAAGACUUUUGAGCAGAGCAGUGAUACAGUCAGGGUUGUGCUGUUUAGGGAGGUUAAUUCUGUAGGCGUGUGGAUUGCAAGGGUGAAAGCAAAACCAGGGAGACCACAUGAGGGCCCGAGAAGUACGACAAAGACGGGAUUUCUAUGUGGGGUCAAGGAUGACUGACCUGAACUGGAAGAACAGUCACCACCACCAGACCAAGAGCGACUUUCUGGGUGAGAGGCGGGCGAAUGAUUUCAGGGUCAUGGCAACAAACAGAGUAGAAACUUGGAACUGCAGCUUGCUGGUGGUCUUUACUAUAAAGCCACAACCUAUUCUUGAUUUCCUCACAACCUGUGUGUAAUAGGUAGAGUUCAACAGUUGCUCAAGAAUAAAGGCAUGUCAUUUCCUAUUGUUCCUCUGCUAGUCACAGUCACUGCUGAGCAUUUAAUAAACCAUGUGGAUGAAGCUGUAGGCAAAAGGUAAGCAAAUGGCGAGGAUAAUAGCUUUCAUUUAUUGACAGGUCAGUGUGGUUCAGUAGCUUUGUACAUAUUAUCAGCCAAUCUUCAUAACCCUGAAAAGUCAUUAGUAUUCCUACUCUACAGAUAAGGAAACAGGUUCAGAAGUUGACUUGUUAAAAGUUACCCAAAUAAUAAAUGAUAAAGUGAGGUUCCCAGCUGGCAGGCAGGCUCCUUACAAUGAACCAUCCUAAAAAGUAGCAGAUUGUCUUACCUCCCUGGCAUGGAAGCCUGAUUUGAUCAGCCAAACAAUACACUUCAAUGUUGUUAUCCAUGUCUCAGGGAAACUCCAAGAAAGAGAAAGUACUUCAAUUGCUCUAGCUGGAGUUAGUAUAGACUGGUUUGUAAAAGAACAUUUUUCAAAAAUCACAAGACUUGGUUGUACUGUCUAUCUCCCUUCUAAGCAAAGGGAUUUUGUACUUUUUCAGAGCAAAAACUUGAAUAACCAUAAACAUAAGAAUAGUUCCCACGGCUUUGCUACAUUUUAUUUCCUAUGGAAAGAAAUGGCUAUGUUUCAAGAUUAUUCUUUAAAUUACUUAAUUGUAACAAUAGUGGUAUGCAUUGUGAAAAACAAAUUUCAUGUACAUACAGGCUUACGUAUUUUUAUCCUCCCAUUGUCCUCACUUAGAAAAGUUGAAAGGUGGUUUCUGACUAUUUACUUCAGAAAAAAAUACAAAACUCUACAUUUAAAUAAAGCAGCUCUUUUUCUUUUAAUAGUUACCAGGGUUCAGAUGUAAUUUCCCAAAGGAAGAAAUGUCCAUUGCCAAUUUUUCCAGAGAAGUUCACAUAUAGAUAGUAAAGCUUCUAAAGUUAAAUAUGAAUUAAGAGUAGCAUUUUUUUAGUCUUAAAAAGUUAAUUACUAGUUUUAAAGAAAGUACAAAUCAGUGUGGGGUGAGGUAGUUUGAAUCAUCCAAAACAUUAAUCAUCAAGGGCAAAAAGACUUUCAAAAGAACUAUACAAGUUUUGUAUUUGUUGUAGAAAGGCAUUAAAAGUAUUCUCAAGUGCACGUGUUGGGUACCACAUCCCAUUGAAGACUGGCACUAGAAAAUAACAUCAGACCAUUUAAAAAGCAGAUGCCAUUCUAAGAAAACCAUCCAUACAAAACAACUGAGCUGAGGUUAACAGUAUAGUAACACCUCCCCAUUUACUAAAAUGCCAGAAAUCAAUUUCUUCUAUGGAUUAUAAAUAUUCCUGAGGACAGACCCCCUUUCACACCAGAUGGAUGCUGCUGUCCUGUUUCGUAAGUAGACAUAAUAAUGCCAUUAAGUAUUUCCUCCUGCACAUCCUUAGUACUAUCACUGUGCCACACAGAAUAGGCUUCAAGUCUUCCAAACGAGCAGGAAAAGCAUGGCCAAAUUUAACUUACUCUGCCUUUUUUCCAAGAUAAUAUGCUGAUCUGGCCACAUGAGAAACACUGGGACUACAGUGAUUCCCCCAAUAUUCUUCCAAGUCAUGUUUACUUUGCUGAUACUUGUUGGCCAUCUCGUGUACUUAUGUGCAGGCAGAAAUGGAAAAUGAAGAGUGUAAGACCUGAGAGGCAUUCCACACAGCCUGUCCCCACCCACCCAUGUUAAGUCUCAGUGUCAGACUAAGUUUCCUUAUCUGAUGUUCCCAUAUUGCCUUUAAAAUAAUUUUCAAGGUCAAAUUUACCACUUUAUUCUGAGGUACUUUAAUAAUAAGUUAACUAAAACAACCAAUGCUUAGUAUUUCUGCCCAGACAUUUUCAACCUAAUCACCUCUUAAAAAACAGUGAGCUGAAGAAUGAAUACCAACGCCCUUGGGAGACUUCACUUUGAAAACACACGCACACAAAAAAUCAUUAUUCAAAUAGAUAUUUGAAAACAACUGAUCCCUUUGAGAGGAAUAUCCAGUUAAGAGUGCUACUUUCAUAAAUAAAAGAAAAAUUGAACAUUGGUGGAGAGAAUGAAAAGAAAAAAGUACAAGAGAGACUGAAAAUAACUGCUUAUCUUGGAACAAAUUCAUUCUCUUAUAAAUUUCUCUUCAUUUUUUUCUCAGUUAUUGAUGACAAACUAAGAAAAGUUCAGGAAUACUUUAUUUCCUGGUAACGUCUCCAACUACAUGUUAUUUUAGCCCAAAAUUGUAUUCCAAAUCCUUUAAAAGCCUCUACAUUAACCAGUUUAUUCUACUGGUUAAAAAGUCUACCAAGCAACCUGUGCUGCCAGAGUAUUCAAAUGAUUCAUCACAAUUUAUCUAUUUUUACCCAUUAUAAAUGCAAUUUCCCUCUCCAGUGGUGCCCGUUUCCUUCCUGUUUGCACUUGGCUCAGGUUUCAAAAAGUUUUUUGAACGCGAUUCCAACUUCUGCGAUCAUGUCGGUGGUGGUCAUGGCGCGUCCGUACUUCUUAAAGGCUUGGCUGUUGCACUGCCUUGUGAGAGAGCAGGCACCAAACCCUGCCACGAGAAAAGGAUUUAAACUGGAAAAAGGGAGAGAGGUAUUACCAAGAAGCUACUAAAUAAGUGGAAAGUCAAAAACCUCGAAGGCAUCAGACAUCAGCCUUUUUAAGGUGAGUGGCCCUGCAGUGACCAUAGGAUUGGAUUUUUAUUCUAGUUUCAACCUUGGGUCCCCAAACUGGCAAUUUAAAGUCUGAGAUGCCUCUGAGCUGUGUGCACGUGUGCAUGUACACAUAUGUAUGUGCCCAAGUGUGCCUUAGCAUUCUUUUUUACCCUGAUUUCAGUUACCUAGUCAGCAACAUUAUAAGUAGUUAACCAUUUGAUAAUUAUUAGAAAUUAACCCUCUAAUAUUAAUAUUCCCUGACAAAAGGCACAUCAAAAAUAUCUAUCCAUUUAAAGAAAGAGACACAACAGUAGAAGGUAAUUUUCUCCCGAUGAAAAGCCAGACAAGUACUUAUUGGUCAUAAAUAUUUUCAAAGUGCUCUAUAGUUUUCCUAUGAUGUGAAGGAGUAUUCAAGAUCUGAGAAUGCACAAUUCUUGUUCCCACUACUAAAAGACUAGUACAUCCUAGUACUAGACAAUUCCAGCUGCCUCUCUGCUUCCUUCUCCCAGCGGGAGCUGACAGUGCCUCUUCCCUGGUCCCACAGCGCAGGGGGUGAUCGCUCUGGGGACAUAACAGGUUCAGUGCUGGCUGUCUCACUCCCGCCUCCAGCCCAGUGCUGUGCAGAGGUGGGCGCAGACACAGCAGGCAGUGCACCGUUUCCCAGGUGUCAGGUGAGGUGCUAGAGGACAGGCUUUCAGGAGCCUAAGCAUUUCACACACAGCACAUGCAGCCACCAUUGCCACCCCAUCGUUUUACAGAAGGAACUGAGGCUCACAGAGGUUGUAUGGCUUGCCCAGGUUCACAAAGCUGCCUGACAACAGAACCUAGCCGACUGCCGCCUGCUGCCUCUUAAAGAUGUGAAUUUCUUUUUUAAGUUCAAAUGUCUAAGAUAAGCUAUAACUUCAAUCUGUAUGUUUUCUAUUUUAAUAUUUCAUUUUACAGUGACUAUUCACUGAAAAAAAUUCCUACAACAGUGGCUCUCAAAUUUGGUUGCAUGCUAGAAUGAAUUGAAGAGCUUUCUAAAAAGUUCCAGGGCCCCUUCCCUAUCCACUGAGAAUGGCCGGGAAGGGGCCCAGAUAUUGGUAACUACAGCCUCCCGGGUGUUCUGACUGUACAGACAGCAUUAACUUUGGCCUGGCAUCUCUUCAGUGUAGCACUAAUAUUUCAUUUGGAAUUUUCAAGCGACUACUUAUUAAAGGUAUGAGCUGCUGAAAUAUCUUACAAAAUUCCAACCUUUCAAAGAGUUAUAAAUUAAGACUAUACCCGUUUGUUUUUGCAGAUCCAGCAAGAAGUGCCCAGUGCACCAGGACGCCAAGGGAGCCCGACAGGAGAUCUCCUUGCCCACCACACCUGCGGCUGCUUCCUUCCUGACUACACACGAGCACUGAACAAAAGCAAACCAAGAGCCCACAUUAGCUCCAAGGGUUUCUUCUGUACGAGAUGCAACACACUCCUACAGGGAAUAGCUCCUUUCGAGGGUUAUACUAAAAGUUUCAGAGGUUUCCUGUUAAAAUAUGCAUGGAUUUACAAAGAACAAUAGCCCACAGAGAAUAUCCAAACACUGGAAAAUUCCAGCCAAUGUUACUGGAUACUAUUUGAAUAAGGUAACGUAACAUAACAUAGCAUUUGGGUCUUCCAGCAAUAUUAACGGCACUACACAGAACAGCUUGUCAAAAUCACCAAGUGAAGUACUUAUUUUGCUUCCUAAACUUAUUGUUUCUUGGAACAUCACUCAAAGGAUUUGUAUGAAGUAUACUAGUCAUUUAAGCUCGUUAAAGAGUGUUUAUUUGCAAGAAUGACUCACAUUAGCAGCAGGGCCAGCCAUGACACAGCUACAAGUAAAACUGAUUAGAUCCUGAGCACUUCUAUAAACUUCUGUCCCAGGUCUAGAAAUGCCGACUCAACCUUCAACCCGUGUUCUUGCUUUUGUCUUGACAUCAAGUGGAUUUCUUCCCCAGUUACAGCUCUCUGUUUAUUUUUGAGCUUUAAUUUUCACAAGCGAAUGAUAGUACUUUCCCCUUGUACUCCAAAAAUUUCAAACCUUCAGCUUUUCCAGAAAAUGCCUGAAUGAAGGAAUCCCUGCAUGGAAAACACUACCCCAAACCACAGCACAUUUACAAUGUACACACAAAAUUAAUUCUUCCAUAAAAACAGUUAAGCCAUUUGUGGAUAUAAUCAAUACCACUGAAUUUUAUGCUUGAAAGUGGUUAAAAUUGGAAGAUUUGAGUUGUAUGUAUGUUACAAUAAAAAGUUAAAAAAAAAAGCCCAGCAACUGAGUCAACAGGUACUGCUGCAGGUCAAAACAAGCCGCCUGAUUCACCAUGAACAUCAACAAUGCUUCCCUAAAUAUUUAAUGCUGUAGCUAAGUUAAAAAUAUUUUUAAAAUCGUACAUUCAUUGCAGACAAUGUAGGAAAAAAACAUCCAUGAUCUCAUCACUCCCACAGAACCCUUCCUGACAUUUCAGUACUAUCCUUCUGGUGUUUCUCCUUUGUACAUCUCUUUAGAAAACUGCAAACCUAUUGUAUGUAUUUUAUAACCUAGUUUUUCACUCAACAAAACAUGAGUGCAUGAUACUCUACACUUUAAGGAAGUUUGCUUAAUUAUGCUCCCUGUCUGGGCAUGGACAGACACCACCGUAUUUAACCUUUUACAAAUUCCAUUUCCCGCCUUUGGAUUAUUCUGUUUGAAAUACAGUCUCUGAAUUGGAAUUAACAAAGGACCUAAAUAGGUUUAGUAGGAGAGUUCAUAUUGCCCAAAGUCAGCACCAACUCCCAUUCGCCUCUCUGCCCUGGGCUAUUUCCCGGAUAUUUGCCAAGAUUGGAUUUGUGUCAUCCCAGUGCCUACCACAAUGCACGGCAUAUGGUGAUAGCAUUCAACAAAAAAAAGUAUUGCUCUUUAUUUACACAGCCCUCCACGGAUGCUUUUAUACAUAAAAUCUCAUUUGCUCCUCAGAGCUUAGGUACAAAGAGCUUCUGGAUAUGAACCCUGGCUCAGCUGCUUCCUACCUGGAUGACUAUGAACAUCUGAUACCUAAUUAGACAGCAUCUGUAUCAUCUCUAUCAGUUUCCUCAUUUGUAAACUGGAAAUAAUAACAAUACCUACCUCACAGGGUUGUUAUGAGAACUAGAGUUUAAUAAUACAUAAAGUACUUAGAAAAGGGCCUGGCACACAAAAUGCAUAAAAUAAAUGCCAAUAUUUAACUCAUGUUUUUAUUAAUUUCAAUAAUUUAAUAAAUAAUGUGAUAAUUAAAACAGAGCAGAUGAGGAAAACCAAAAUCAAAGAAGUGGCAUGAUGUGUCUUCAGUCAUCCAGCCAAUCGCUGUUCCAAUAGGCCAGUGGUCUGUAUGACCUAGCACACAUAUCUGCCCCAAAAGAAAGAUGUUCAUGAGGACUUCUGAUAAAAUCUAAGCAUAUUUUCCCAUUCAUGUAAAUGGUCAUUUCAAAAACAUAUUCUAUAUUUUUAAUCAACCUUCAGUUAUCAAUUACUUCUAAUGAAUGAUCUUAAAUUGUUCUCUGUGCAUUAAAUCCUUUGUUGAGGAAUGAAUCCUCUUUAUGGCAAAUACUUAGGAAUACCAGGUGAGUCUGUGAUUAAGGGUGAAGUAACAGAUCCCCAGCAUGAUACGGUCUCCUAAGAGUUUAACAAAUGCAGACAUUACCCAAAGGCCAGCAGCCCUAGCAAGCAGUACUGACAGGACAGGUGACUCUCUGGGUGGGCUGACCGGGGUCUCCCAGGUAGUCUCUUAACAGGAGGGACAAGUAGGCAAAUAUCAAACUUGGGGGUCUGGCUUUGACCAUCAGAUCACAUGGUGGACAAGAGGUCUAUGGUCAAUGUUGUGUUCAGGAAACACCCUAACGAAUGGCUUCCAGAAGCAAAUCCCAGUCAAACCCUCCUAUUCUCCAUGCUGUGUUAGCACGGUCAAUCCUGACUGAACUGCCUAUUGCAUAAUGGGCUUCUCCUGUCGGAGCACUAGCCUGAAUCUUGCAGUUGCUACUAUAGCACUCAAACCUAUUUACACCAACAGCAUGUACAGGUCUCCCAAAUAUGUAAGAAAAUGUUCCAGAUUCGAGGAUUGAGGACAAUAAGGGCAUUAAUAAUAAAGUGAAAAACAGGUCAGAGGAUGUGGCCUGUGCUCCAUCUCACUGCCAGCAAAUGGGGCCAGGGGUUAAAUGGCUGAUCCUAAAAGGUCAGGAAUCCUAUCAUCUCAAGGCUCAUGGGGGAGUGGGGGAGAGGGGGGUCAACUGCUCUGGGCUCUCACCUGGCAGGAAACCCUCAUUUGCCCUUAUUUCUGAAGAUAAUCCAUCUAGUGAAGUGGCAUGAUUACCAUGGCCAUGUCUCCCACGACCUGCAGAAGCUAAGCCCCUACUGUGCAGAGAACAACUAAUGCAUCCAGCACCCUCGGGACACAAAGUGCUGGACAGAGCAAGGCGGCCGUGCAUUUCAGACAUGCUAUUUACAAAUGGGAAUUCCUCAGAAAUUUCCUCCCCCUCCGAUAAAACCAAGGAUCUAUCACUCCUAAGCUAUUAUUAACUUCUACUUUUCAGCAAGUGGUUAAAAUUUUCAAAGAUCUAAAUGGUGCCACCUGACAAAUGACUUGCACUCACCAUGCUAAUUCCAUGUCCCUUCAAAUCCAGUAGAAUCCUAAAUGCCUCUAAUUUGCACAAUGUACCAUCUAGAGCUACUUUUAAAGUGUAUUUGAUUGCCUCACAGAUUAUUUAUCCUGAAUGCAAAACUGCUGGCUCAUUAAUCACUCUCUAUUCUCACAGCUCUUUUUAAAAGGAAUGAAUAGCUACCCCUUCUACCACCAGCACUUCUAUUAUCACAGCUUCUUAUUCCAGAAUUGAACUGACAUCUCCUGAAACACACAGGCAUUCUGUUCAUAAGAGCUCUAAUCUUCCAGCCCUCCCCACAGAUUUCAGUCCAAGUG